UUCUCGGACCAGCAGACACCCGCACUGUGAGCGGCACAUCUGGUGCACUUACUGAAAUCCUAACCACACAGAUGGUCUCAUCCGGCUGCUGUGUCGCUCACUGUGCAAGACACGGGAGCCAGUAGUGAGCUCUUCUCUCCAGCUGCUCAGCACCCAGUGGAGACAGGCCGAUGUAACCGGGAGACAGUGCAGGUUACAGGCACUGUUCUAGGCAGUAGGAGACUGGUGAUGAGCAAGACAGACAAGUCUCAACUCAUGGCACCGACAUUCCAGGCAAGGAAACUAAACAGAGUGUCUGUCCUAUAAAGGAGGACCCUUUUACCAAGCACCAAGGACAGUACCAGGUGUACGGUCGGUGUACUGCAGGGAACAGGGAGCAGCCUGGCUGGAAG